CAGCCGCCGCGUUAAUACCGGCGGCCCGAGUGGCGGCCACUAUUAUUGGGCCUAAAGCGUCCGUAGCCGGGCUGGUAAGUCCUCCGGGAAAUCUGGUCGCUUAACGAUCAGACUUCCGGAGGAUACUGCUGGCCUAGGGACCGGGAGAGGCCGAGGGUAUUCCCGGGGUAGGGGUGAAAUCCUGUAAUCCCGGGAGGACCACCUGUGGCGAAGGCGCUCGGCUGGAACGGGUCCGACGGUGAGGGACGAAGGCCAGGGGAGCGAACCGGAUUAGAUACCCGGGUAGUCCCGGCUGUAAACGAUGCGGGCUAGCUGUUGGGUGGGCUUAGAGCCCACCCAGUGGCGCAGGGAAGCCGUUAAGCCCGCCGCCUGGGGAGUACGGCCGCAAGGCUGAAACUUAAAGGAAUUGGCGGG
rnacentral:rRNA from 1 species